GGUGAACGCUGGCGGUAGGCCUAACACAUGCAAGUCGAACGGCAGCACAGUAAGAGCUUGCUCUUACGGGUGGCGAGUGGCGGACGGGUGAGGAAUACAUCGGAAUCUACUUUUUCGUGGGGGAUAACGUAGGGAAACUUACGCUAAUACCGCAUACGACCUACGGGUGAAAGCAGGGGAUCUUCGGACCUUGCGCGAUUGAAUGAGCCGAUGUCGGAUUAGCUAGUUGGGGGGGUAAAGGCCCACCAAGGCGACGAUCCGUAGCUGGUCUGAGAGGAUGAUCAGCCACACUGGAACUGAGACACGGUCCAGACUCCUACGGGAGGCAGCAGUGGGGAAUAUUGGACAAUGGGCGCAAGCCUGAUCCAGCCAUACCGCGUGGGUGAAGAAGGCCUUCGGGUUGUAAAGCCCUUUUGUUGGGAAAGAAAAGCAGCAGGUUAAUACCCCGCUGUUCUGACGGUACCCAAAGAAUAAGCACCGGCUAACUUCGUG
rnacentral:rRNA from 1 species